GGACAGCCGAACCGAACCGGACCGGGCGCCUUCGGGAUCUUUAGCGGCGGCGUCGCUUCUGUCUGUGAGGAAUAACGGCGCGCUGCUCGAUGGAGCGUCCCGGUGUUCGAUGAUGAACGGGAGCGGAGCGGAGAGCGCGAGCAGGGCUGCGGCCGAGCGAGAUUUUGUUGUGGAUGGAGAGAGAAAUGAAUGUGGAUCUACUGGUUACAUGACAGGUUCUCAUCUACAUCACAAUGAAUGAUUUCAUUGGUUCAGCAUCUUGGAAAGAAACUUUUGGGAUGGUGAAUCCAGGCCUGACACUGAUCUGCUGUGAAGUCAUUGCAUGCAUCAUCCAUGGCCUGGAGAAAAGUGUCUUGUUCAUGAGGGUGCCUAUCGUAGACCUUCCACCUCCAUGUGGAGAAAAACUCCUCAGUGGGGUUAAGAAAAGGGGAGUAUGGAGGUAAAUACAGGGUGAGAAAUUGUGGAUGGGCCUGAAAUCAUGCUUGAACCAUUUGAGCAUGAUGAAACUGAACAUUAUCCCAAACGAUUGCAUAGGUCACACCCUCAGCUCUACAGACCUGAUUUAGGCAAGGCAAGUUUAUUUAUAUAGCACAUUUCAUACACAAUGGUAAUUCAAAGUGGUUUACAUAAAAGAAAAGAAAAUAAUAAAAUAAAAAAAUAACAACAAUAAAACA